rnacentral:rRNA from 1 species
CCCAGACUCCUACGGGAGGCAGCAGUGGGGGAUAUUGCACAAUGGGGGGAACCCUGAUGCAGCGACGCCGCGUGGGUGAAGGAGCGUUUCGGCGCGUAAAGCCCUAUCGGCAGGGAAGAAGGAGGACGGUACCUGACUAAGAAGCCCCGGCUAACUACGUGCCAGCAGCCGCGGUAAUACGUAGGGGGCAAGCGUUAUCCGGAUUUACUGGGUGUAAAGGGGGCGCAGGCGGCAGCGCAAGCCAGGAGUGAAAGCCCGGGGCCCAACCCCGGGACUGCUCUUGGAACUGCGCGGCUGGAGUGCAGGAGGGGCAGGCGGAAUUCCUGGUGUAGCGGUGAAAUGCGUAGAUAUCAGGAGGAACACCGGUGGCGAAGGCGGCCUGCUGGACUGCGACUGACGUUGAGGCCCGAAAGCGUGGGGAGCAAACAGGCUUAGAUACCCGGGUAUU